AAAACAUUUCUUUUAUAAUUAAAGGUAGUCCCUGCUCAAUGAUUUAAAUGGCUGCAGUAUUUUAACUGUGCGAAGGUAGCAUAAUAAUUUUCUUUUUAAUUGUAAGGUAGAAUGAAAGGGUUAACUAACAUCUACUGUAUAAAUAUGAGUUUAAAAUUUUAUAGAAAGGUAAAAAAUCCUUUCAUUUCUAAAGGGACGACAAGACCCUGGAAACUUCUAAGUUUAAACUUAUUUAACUGGGGCGGUUAGUAAUAUAAACGUUAGAGUUUAAACAUUUGCAUGGUUUUUAUAAUCAUAAAUUGAACAUUGAUGAAAGUUACUCUAGGGAUAACAGCGUAAUUUUAUCAUAGAGUUCUCAUAGAAGAUAAAGUUGCGACCUCGAUGUUGAAUUAAGUAGUCCUCUUGAAGGAGAAGGUUAGAGGGGAGAGUUUGUUCAACUCUUAAUAACUUACGUGAUCUGG
rnacentral:rRNA from 1 species